rnacentral:rRNA from 1 species
AGAGUUUGAUCCUGGCUCAGGAUGAACGCUAGCUACAGGCUUAACACAUGCAAGUCGAGGGGAAACGACAUCGAAAGCUUGCUUUUGAUGGGCGUCGACCGGCGCACGGGUGAGUAACGCGUAUCCAACCUGCCCACCACUUGGGGAUAACCUUGCGAAAGUAAGACUAAUACCCAAUGACGUCUCUAGAAGACAUCUGAAAGAGAUUAAAGAUUUAUCGGUGAUGGAUGGGGAUGCGUCUGAUUAGCUUGUUGGCGGGGUAACGGCCGCCAAGGCUACGAUCAGUAGGGUCUGAGAGGAAGGUCCCCCANAUUGGAACUGAGACACGGUCCAAACUCCGUACGGAGGCA